rnacentral:rRNA from 1 species
GGCAGCAAUGUCAGUGGCGGACGGGUGAGUAUCGCGUAGGAAUGUAUCCUGAGGUGGGGGACAACCCUGGGAAACUGGGGCUAAUACCGCAUGGGAGCUGAGGCUCAAAGCAGCAAUGCGCCUUGGGAGCAGCCUGCGUCCGAUUAGGUAGUUGGUGGGGUAAAGGCCUACCAAGCCUGCGAUCGGUAGCUGGUCUGAGAGGACGAUCAGCCACACUGGGACUGAGACACGGCCCAGACUCCUACGGGAGGCAGCAGUGGGGAAUAUUGGACAAUGGGCGAAAGCCUGAUCCAGCAAUGCCGCGUGGGUGAAGAAGGUCUUCGGAUUGUAAAGCCCUUUCGACAGGGACGAUGAUGACGGUACCUGUAGAAGAAGCCCCGGCUAACUUCGUGCCAGCAGCCGCGGUAAUACGAAGGGGGCUAGCGUUGCUCGGAAUUACUGGGCGUAAAGGGCGCGUAGGCGGCGCUGUUAGUCAGGCGUGAAAUUCCUGGGCUCAACCUGGGGACUGCGCUUGAUACGGCAGUGCUAGAGGAUGGAAGAGGCUCGCGGAAUUCCCAGUGUAGAGGUGAAAUUCGUAGAUAUUGGGAAGAACACCGGUGGCGAAGGCGGCGAGCUGGUCCAUU